GAGGAAUCCAGUAGAAAGCUAUCACACGCUGGGGAAAGAACUUUGGGAGAACGGAGGAGGAGAACGGAAACACUUUUUGAUUUUAUCACAGCAUUGCAGGGCAGGAAUCUUUAGACCAGCUUUCUGCAAACUGGCUUCCUCCAAGUGUUUUGCCCAAGGUGCUUGGGAAUAAAUGCUGAAAGGUAAUAACGCUAGGAAUUGCGAAGGCUGCUCUGAGCAAUUCUGCCUUCUAGCAGGAUUUAGACUCUCCCAACAAUACAGACAGGAAAAUCACAUCUACCUCCUACCUAGAUGGACUUCAGAGGCAAUGGCAGUGGAUUUAACAGAUUCAACAGAUUAACACACGGUUGACAACCAUUUAGAGCCACAGAGAAAAAAGAACUUCAUGAACUUUUCGCGUGUAGCACUUGGCUAAACCUGUGAACCUAAGUGGAGUGAAGCCUCAAUUUUACCGCGACAUUCGUGCCUAGAAAGCAGUGAAUACAGUAAAGUAGAGGCAUUGUUCGUCUACUGGAUGGUUAGAGGCGGAGAUGGAACAGGUGGAAACGAUAGAGAUUUAACUGCUAGAGAGGAUCAGGACGAGAGAGGAACUUCCUCUUCCGGCUCACACACGGGAUUAUUUUGAUGUCGGCGGAUCCUCUUGUGCCGUUUGGAGGGUCGAAGCGGCUCCUGGGAGGUUCUGCAGUCAUUUUUAAAACAAUGAAACUAAUCCAUUAAUAUUAAUCUUCUAGACAAAGAGGAAGCCAAGUAGAGCAGUCUGGACAACAGAAGAUGAGAAGCAGCAUUAAAAUGCAAAAUAAACCAUCAAUCAAAA